UUAACCUACGGGGCGCAGCAGUGAGGAAUAUUGGUCAAUGGGCUUACGCCUGAACCAGCCAAGUCGCGUGAGGGAAGACUGCCCUAUGGGUUGUAAACCUCUUUUGUCAGGGAGCAAUUGGCGCUACGUGUAGCGUUAUCGAGGGUACCUGAAGAAAAAGCAUCGGCUAACUCCGUGCCAGCAGCCGCGGUAAUACGUAGGUGGCAAGCGUUAUCCGGAUUUACUGGGUGUAAAGGGCGAGUAGGCGGGAUUGCAAGUCAGAUGUGAAAACUAUGGGCUCAACCGAUAGAGUGCAUUUGAAACUG
rnacentral:rRNA from 1 species